rnacentral:rRNA from 1 species
UUGAAAGGGAAACGAUUGAAGUCAGUCGUACCCUCGGGUAAUCAGCCUUUUGGGUGUGAUUUUGUGGAGCGUGAAGAGUUAAACGCCUUCAUGCCUGCAUAUUCGUGCAUUUUGGGUGUACUUGCCCGUAUGGUUGGUUAACAUCAAUUUUGGUGGUCAUAAAAUGACUGGAGGAAUGUAGCUUCGAUCUCGUAUUGAAGUGUUAUAGCCUUCGGUAGAUGUGAUGAUCGAGAUUGAGGAUUGCAACGGAUACCCUUCGGGGCUACCUGUCUGAUCUCUGAUCGUUGCUCUGGUGCCGAAAGCUUGCUUACGGUUAUCAAAGUCGAUGGUCAAUAGGUUAGAACGGGUUAAAUUCGUUAAGGAUGUUGACGUA